GAAGGUACAGUUCAGUGGUAGAGUGCAUGCCUAGCAUGCAUGAGGUCCUGGGUUCAAUCCCCAGUACCUCCA
rnacentral:tRNA from 1 species